CCUACGGGAGGCAGCAGUGAGGAAUAUUGGUCAAUGGGCGUAAGCCUGAACCAGCCAAGUCGCGUGAGGGAUGAAGGUUCUAUGGAUUGUAAACCUCUUUUAUAAGGGAAUAAAGUGCGGGACGUGUCCCGUUUUGUAUGUACCUUAUGAAUAAGGAUCGGCUAACUCCGUGCCAGCAGCCGCGGUAAUACGGAGGCUCCGAGCGUUAUCCGGAUUUAUUGGGUUUAAAGGGUGCGUAGGCGGCCUUUUAAGUAAGCGGUGAAAGUCUGUGGCUCAACCAUAGAAUUGCCGUUGAUGCUGGGAGGCUUGAGUAUGUUUGAGGCAGGCGGAAUGCGUGGUGUAGCGGUGAAAUGCUUAGAUAUCACGCAGAACCCCGAUUGCGAAGGCAGCCUGCCAAGCCAUGACUGACGCUGAUGCACGAAAGCGUGGGGAUCAAACAGGAUUAGAUACCCUUGUAGUC
rnacentral:rRNA from 1 species